GGGUGAGAUUAUAUCAGAGAGUGCUGUGUGAUAGGGUGAGAUUAUAUCAGAGUGCCGUAUAAUGGGGUGAGAUUAUAUCAGAGAGUGCUGUGUGAUAGGGUGAGAAUAUAUCAGAGUGCUGUGUGAUAGGGUGAGAUUAUAUCAGAGUGCCGUAUAAUGGGGUGAGAUUAUAUCAGAGAGUGCUGUGUGAUAGGGUGAGAAUAUAUCAGAGUGCUGUGUGAUAGGGUGAGAAUAUAUCAGAGAGUGCUGUGUGAUAGGAUGAGAUUAUAUCAGAGUGCCAUG